GGGAUUGUGGCUCAGCGGUAGAGCACUCGCCUUUCAAGUGUGGGACCCUGGAUUUGAUCCUCAGCACCA
rnacentral:tRNA from 1 species